UGCUUUUCCCCUUUUUGCAAAAUCAAAAUGUUCAUCUCUCUCUCUCUCUCUCUGUUUCUCUCUGCACCACCACAGCACACUAGCACCUCCAUAACUCCAUCUUCUCUCUCAACCAAACCUUGACAGCCGCUGCCUAAAAUCUCCUAGAGAUAGGGAUACAUUGCCGAUUAUCAACAGUUCCAACGAGAUCAACCUUUUUCUCGUCAGAAAACGCCCAAAACCGUCUCUCUCUCAUUGUUUCCAACCACCGGCGUCCGAAGUUUUCUCCACUUCCAACACCUGACGUUGCAAGAAGGGCAAAAUUCUGAAGUAUGAUGAAAAGCUCUUUUGGAUGGUAUUUUGGACAAUAUACUGCACAGCUAAUGGACAACAUUUUUGGAUAGUUUUUUGGAAAGCAUUUCAGACAUUAUUGCACAGUAGAGGGACAUCUUAGAUAGUAUUUUUGACUUGAUAAUUUUUUAGACAGUAUAACUGAAAAUUUGGACAAGUGAUUGCAUAGCCAACACUAAUUAUAGUUAUCAUUUUGGAAAACUUUUGUAACUAAUGAAGUUACUCAAGCAUGAUAGAUUUCAUGUAGGUUUGAGUAGCUUCUAGUUAAAGACUAAUUAUAUGCAAAUUAUGAAAGUUUUUAAUGCAAUAGUAAAUUUUAUUCUUAUA